CAAAUCAAGACUUUCACUUGCUGUAUUUUCAAAAAAACGAUGAUAAUGUGAAUGAAUACGAAUGCGUCUCGGAAACUGUGAACACAUGGUUGUACGUCAUCACCGUAUACGGAUUGCCGAACGCAUCUGUGUAUCAAGGUUUGCUCGAAGCAGGAGUUGAAAGCAUAAACAUGCAAAGACUUAAGAGCACUGAACAAGCACUGCUGCUAGAUACUUGUGAAGCCAGACAUCCAAUAAGGAUUGGCACUAAAUACCACAUCCGCUGGAAAAUGGGGUUAGAACACGAAAGGUUUGCU